rnacentral:rRNA from 1 species
AUUGAACGCUGGCGGCAGGCCUAACACAUGCAAGUCGAGCGAGUGGCGGACGGGUGAGUAAUAUAUCGGAACGUGCCCAGGAGCGGGGGAUAACUACUAGAAAGAGUGGCUAAUACCGCAUAAUAUUGGAGAGGCCGAUAUCGGAUUAGCUAGUUGGUGGGGUAAAGGCUCACCAAGGAAACGAUCCGGAGCUGGUUUGAGAGGACGACCAGCCACACUGUGACUGAGACACGGUCCAGACUCCUACGGGAGGCAGCAGUGGGGAAUUUUGGACAAUGGGGGAAACCCUGAUCCAGCCAUCCCGCGUGUAUGAGAAGGCCUUCGGGUUGUAAAGUACUUUUGGCAGAGAAGCGGUAUCUGCAGAAUAAGCACCGGCUAACUACGUGCCAGCAGCCGCGGUAAUAC